rnacentral:rRNA from 1 species
GACGAACGCUGGCGGCGUGCUUAACACAUGCAAGUCGAACGGAAAGGCCCUGCUUUUGUGGGGUGCUCGAGUGGCGAACGGGUGAGUAACACGUGAGUAACCUGCCCUUGACUUUGGGAUAACUUCAGGAAACUGGGGCUAAUACCGGAUAGGAGCUCCUGCUGCAUGGUGGGGGUUGGAAAGUUUCGGCGGUUGGGUAUGGACUCGCGGCUUAUCAGCUUGUUGGUGGGGUAGUGGCUUACCAAGGCUUUGACGGGUAGCCGGCCUGAGAGGGUGACCGGCCACAUUGGGACUGAGAUACGGCCCAGACUCCUACGGGAGGCCGCAGUGGGGAAUAUUGCACAAUGGGCGGAAGCCUGAUGCAGCCACGCCGCGUGCGGGAUGACGGCCUUCGGGUUGUAAACCGCUUUCGCCUGUGACGAAGCGUGAGUGACGGUAAUGGGUACAGAAGCACCGGCUAACUACGUG